rnacentral:lncRNA from 1 species
GGUAGUUUGAUAGGAAUAAUGUUAGAUAGAGCUUUCUAAUUGUUGGAUGGAAUUCCUUGCUGUUAUGGAUUUGCCCUAAUUAUCUGCAAAUUCGGGCAACUUCAAACUUUUCAGAUUUUCAGAACCAGACUCCAAAAUCAUAAUUUACAAAUAUAAGAAAAAAAAAUGCAAUUUUUAGGAUUUCUCAUGACUCCUCAUAACUCCUUUCUUAUGCUGCAAGCACCUAUGGCUCACUUCAAUUGCUCAAACCUUGACUUUGCUAGGGCCUCAGGAU